rnacentral:rRNA from 1 species
GAUGAACGCUGGCGGCGUGCCUAAUACAUGCAAGUCGAGCGAACAGACGAGGCUCUUGCUCCUCUGUCGUUAGCGGCGGACGGGUGAGUCACACGUGUAUCACCUACCUAUCAGUCUGGUAUAUCUUCGGGACUCCGGCGCUAAUACCGUAUAAUAUCUUGCACCGCAUUGUUCAAUAGUGAAAUCCGCUUUUGCUGUCACUUUUAGAUCUAACCGCGCCGUAUUAGCUAGUUGGUAAGGUAACGGCUUACCAAGGCAACGAUGCGUAGCCGAACUGAGAGAGUGAUAGGCCACACUGGAACUGAGACACGGUCCAGACGCCUAAGGGAGGCAGCAGAAGGGAAUCUUACGCAAUGGGCGAGAGCAUGACGGAGCAACGCGGCGUGAGUGAUGAAGGUCUUCGGAGCGUAAAACUCUGUUAUUAGGGAAGAACAAAUGUGUAAGUAACUAUGCACGUAUUGACGGUACCUAAUCAGAAAGCCACGGCUAACUACGUG